UUAGAUUCUCACCGACAACGAAGAGCCACACAACCAAAGACUCUUAAUGGUUUUCAAAUGUGGUGCCAACCAUCUCGACUUAAAGUCCAAUAUAUAAGCA